CUGCACAGUAAUGCCGUGGCUUUAUGAAAGUAAUAUUGCAUAAUGUUUUCUUUGUAGGUUGAGGGGAGAGCUGUGCUCAUCACGGGCUGCGACACUGGAUUUGGACUGGCUUUGGCCAAGCACUUUCUUAAGCUCGGCUUCGCUGUGUUUGCAGGUUGCCUGUUUAAGGAUGGAGAAGGUGCAAAGGAGCUGGAGAACAUUCAUUCAGAGAAGCUGAAGGUUGUGCAGCUGGACGUCUGCAGCGAGGAGCAGGUCUCUCAGGCUGUUGAGUUUGUGACUGCUAACCUGGAAGAGGCGGAGAAAGGUCUGUGGGCUGUGGUCAACAAUGCUGGUAUCUCCACAUUCGGUGAGGUGGAGUUCACAUCCAUGGACACAUACAAGCAGGUUUCAGAGGUCAACCUGUGGGGCACCAUCAGAGUAACCAAAGCCUUCCUGCCUCUCAUCCGCAGGGCU